GACGAACGCUGGCGGCGCGCUUAAAACAUGCAAGUCGAACGUGAAGCCGGGGCUUGCCCCGGUGGAAAGUGGCGAACGGGUGAGUAACACGUGAGGAACGUGCCCCGGAGACCGGGAUAACCCAGGGAAACUUGGGCUAAUACCGGAUGCCUUCACCGAAUCACAUGGUCUGGUGAAGAAAUGGAUUCCGCUCCGGGAUCGCCUCGCGGCCUAUCAGCUUGUUGGUGAGGUAACGGCUCACCAAGGCUUCGACGGGUAGCUGGUCUGAGAGGACGAUCAGCCACACUGGGACUGAGACACGGCCCAGACUCCUACGGGAGGCAGCAGUUAGGAAUCUUGCACAAUGGGGGCAACCCUGAUGCAGCGACGCCGCGUGCGGGACGAAGGCCCUCGGGUCGUAAACCGCUUUCAGCAGGAACGAAAUUGACGGUACCUGCAGAAGAAGCUCCGGCCAACUACGUGCCAGCCGCCGCAGUAAAAC
rnacentral:rRNA from 1 species